GCUGUAGGCAUCUGGCAUUGCGGUUCCUGCAUGAAAACGGUGGCCGGCAGGGCCUGGACCUACAACACAACUUCUGCUGUCACAGUCAAGUCUGCC
rnacentral:miRNA from 1 species